GAGGGAACGUUAGUCCGUUUGGACUUUGGAAUAUACAUAGGCAGCAUGACAUUUAAAAAAGUGAGUAGAAGAAUCCGUAACAUUGGUGACUGCAAAUCUCAGCACUAGACCGAAUCCAAAAGAAGUUAUGAUACAGUCUUGAAGGGACAAGGACUGGGAUGUGAAGGUGAAAAGAAAAGCCUAUGUGCUGUUUAAGAAAAAAUAAUCCAGUUAACACCAACGAAAAGGAAAAUGGUGGAGGGGGAUCUUUGUUUAAGUGUACAAAACAAACCAGAAGUAAUAAUAAUCCAACAUAACACAAAAAUAAUUAUUCAUAGUAUAAACAGGAAUUUAAAAAUUGAAUAAAAUAGAAAAAGGUUUUUCCAAAAGUAAAAACAUGAAAUGAAAACGAACAUGAA